rnacentral:rRNA from 1 species
GACGACCUCUGGCGGCGUGCUUAACACAUGCAAGUCGAACGGAAAGGCUUUUCGGGGUACUCGAGUGGCGAACGGGUGAGUAACACGUGGGUGAUCUGCCCUGCACUUUGGGAUAAGCCUGGGAAACUGGGUCUAAUACCGAAUAGGACCACGCGCUUCAUGGUGUGUGGUGGAAAGCUUUUGCGGUGUGGGAUGGGCCCGCGGCCUAUCAGCUUGUUGGUGGGGUAAUGGCCUACCAAGGCGACGACGGGUAGCCGGCCUGAGAGGGUGACCGGCCACACUGGGACUGAGAUACGGCCCAGACUCCUACGGGAGGCAGCAGUGGGGAAUAUUGCACAAUGGGCGCAAGCCUGAUGCAGCGACGCCGCGUGAGGGAUGACGGCCUUCGGGUUGUAAACCUCUUUCAAUAGGGACGAAGCGCAAGUGACGGUACCUAUAGAAGAAGCACCGGCCAACUACGUGCCAGCAGCCGCGGUAAUACGUAGGGUGCGAGCGUUGUCCGGAAUUACUGGGCGUAAAGAGCUCGUAGGUGGUUUGUCGCGUUGUUCGUGAAAACUCACAGCUUAACUGUGGGCGUGCGGGCGAUACGGGCAGACUAGAGUACUGCAGGGGAGACUGGAAUUCCUGGUGUAGCGGUGGAAUGCGCAGAUAUCAGGAGGAACACCGGUGGCGAAGGCGGGUCUCUGGGCAGUAACUGACGCUGAGGAGCGAAAGCGUGGGGAGCGAACAGGAUUAGAUACCCUGGUAGUCCACGCCGUAAACGGUGGGUACUAGGUGUGGGUUCCUUCCUUGGGAUCCGUGCCGUAGCUAACGCAUUAAGUACCCCGCCUGGGGAGUACGGCCGCAAGGCUAAAACUCAAAGGAAUUGACGGGGGCCCGCACAAGCGGCGGAGCAUGUGGAUUAAUUCGAUGCAACGCGAAGAACCUUACCUGGGUUUGACAUGCACAGGACGCCGGCAGAGAUGUCGGUUCCCUUGUGGCCUGUGUGCAGGUGGUGCAUGGCUGUCGUCAGCUCGUGUCGUGAGAUGUUGGGUUAAGUCCCGCAACGAGCGCAACCCUUGUCCUAUGUUGCCAGCGGGUUAUGCCGGGGACUCGUAGGAGACUGCCGGGGUCAACUCGGAGGAAGGUGGGGAUGACGUCAAGUCAUCAUGCCCCUUAUGUCCAGGGCUUCACACAUGCUACAAUGGCCGGUACAAAGGGCUGCGAUGCCGUGAGGUGGAGCGAAUCCUUUCAAAGCCGGUCUCAGUUCGGAUCGGGGUCUGCAACUCGACCCCGUGAAGUCGGAGUCGCUAGUAAUCGCAGAUCAGCAACGCUGCGGUGAAUACGUUCCCGGGCCU